GCCCCAGUAGCCCAAUUGGCAGAGGCAUCGCACUCAAAAUGCGAGGGUUGUCGGUUCGAGUCCGACCUGGGGUA
rnacentral:tRNA from 1 species